CAGUAGCCACGGAAAUACGUAGGGUGCGAGCGUUAAUCGGAAUUACUGGGCGUAAAGCGUGCGCAGGCGGUUAUAUAAGACAGAUGUGAAAUCCCCGGGCUCAACCUGGGACCUGCAUUUGUGACUGUAUAGCUAGAGUACGGUAGAGGGGGAUGGAAUUCCGCGUGUAGCAGUGAAAUGCGUAGAUAUGCGGAGGAACACCGAUGGCGAAGGCAAUCCCCUGGACCUGUACUGGCGCUCAUGCACGAAAGCGUGGGGAGCAAACAGGAUUAGAUACCCGCGUAGUCCCUGUCUCUUAUAC
rnacentral:rRNA from 1 species